rnacentral:precursor_RNA from 14 species
GGAGCAGUGUCUUACUGGGUUGGGAGAGGUUUUAGACAAGCUGUUGAGCCCAGUGGAAGAGCACUUCAUGGCCAAUAGUUUGUCUAAAAUCUCUCCCAACCAUGCACUUGGUCCAAUAAA